CCUACGGGUGGCAGCAGUGGGGAAUAUUGCACAAUGGGCGAAAGCCUGAUGCAGCAACGCCGCGUGAGCGAUGAAGGCCUUCGGGUCGUAAAGCUCUGUCUUCAAGGACGAUAAUGACGGUACUUGAGGAGGAAGCCACGGCUAACUACGUGCCAGCAGCCGCGGUAAUACGUAGGGGGCUAGCGUUAUCCGGAGUUACUGGGCGUAAGGGGUGCGUAGGUGGCUUUUUAAGUCAGAGGUGAAAGGCUAGGACUCAACCGAAGUAUGCCUUUGAAACUGGGGAACUUGAGGGCAGGAGAGGAGAGUGGAAUUCCUAGUGUAGCGGUGAAAUGCGUAGAUAUUAGGAGGAACACCAGUUGCGAAGGCGGCUCUCUGGACUGUAACUGACACUGAGGCACGAAAGCGUGGGGAGCAAACAGGAUUAGAUACCCCUGUAGUC
rnacentral:rRNA from 1 species